UCCCUUGUGGCUCAGCUGGUGAAGAAUCUGCCUGCAAUGCAGAAGACCUGGGUUCGAUCCCUGGGUUGGGAA
rnacentral:tRNA from 1 species